UAUUAUGACAAGGGGAGAAAA
ensembl:piRNA 21ur-15212 ncRNA